CAGAAAAUAGUUUAUAAAAUAUUAACUUUGGAAGUUAAAGAUCAGAAUCAUUCUGUUUUCUGA
rnacentral:tRNA from 1 species